rnacentral:rRNA from 1 species
GACGAACGCUGGCGGCGUGCUUAACACAUGCAAGUCGAACGGAAAGGCCCUGCUUGCAGGGUACUCGAGUGGCGAACGGGUGAGUAACACGUGGGUGAUCUGCCCUGCACUUCGGGAUAAGCUUGGGAAACUGGGUCUAAUACCGGAUAGGACCGCACUUUAGUGUGUGUGGUGGAAAGUUUUUUCGGUGUAGGAUGAGCUCGCGGCCUAUCAGCUUGUUGGUGGGGUAAUGGCCUACCAAGGCGGCGACGGGUAGCCGGCCUGAGAGGGUGUACGGCCAGAGUGGGACUGAGAGACGGGCCAGACUCCGGCGGGAGGGAGCAGGGGGGAAAAUUGGACAAAGGGCGCAAGCCUGAUGCAGGGACGCCGCGUGGGGGAUGAAGGCCUUCGGGUUGUAAACUCCUUUCGCUAGGGACGAAGCUUUGUUGUGACGGUACCUAGAGAAGAAGCACCGGCUAACUACGUG